AAAGUACUCCCUCCGUCCGGAAUUACUUGUCGUAGAAAUGGAUAAAAAUGGAUGUAUCUAGAAUUAAAAUAUGUCUAGAUACAUCAAUUCCUCCGAUAAGUAUUUCCGGACGGAGGGAGUACGUA
rfam:Triticum aestivum genome assembly, contig: Triticum_aestivum_CS42_TGACv1_scaffold_471610_6AL